rnacentral:tRNA from 1 species
UUAAUUGAAGCCAAAAAGAGGCUUAUCACUGUUAAUGAUAUUAUUGAAUAUAAAUUCCAAUUAAG